rnacentral:rRNA from 1 species
AGAGUUUGAUCAUGGCUCAGGACGAACGCUGGCGGCGUGCCUAAUACAUGCAAGUCGAGCGGAUGAAUCGAAAGCUUGCUUUUGAUUCGUUAGCGGCGGACGGGUGAGUAACACGUGGGCAACCUGCCCUGUAGACGGGGAUAACACCGAGAAAUCGGUGCUAAUACCGGAUAACACGAAAUGUCGUAUGACGUUUCGUUGAAAGACGGCGCAAGCUGUCGCUACAGGAUGGGCCCGCGGCGCAUUAGCUAGUUGGUGAGGUAACGGCUCACCAAGGCGACGAUGCGGAGCCGACCUGAGAGGGUGAUCGGCCACACUGGGACUGAGACACGGCCCAGACUCCUACGGGAGGCAGCAGUAGGGAAUCUUCCGCAAUGGACGAAAGUCUGACGGAGCAACGCCGCGUGAGCGAAGAAGGCCUUCGGGUCGUAAAGCUCUGUUGUUAGGGAAGAACAAGUAACGCAGUAACUGGCGUUACCGUGACGGUACCUAACGAGAAAGCCACGGCUAACUACGUGCCAGCAGCCGCGGUAAUACGUAGGUGGCAAGCGUUGUCCGGAAUUAUUGGGCGUAAAGCGCGCGCAGGCGGUUCCUUAAGUCUGAUGUGAAAGCCCACGGCUCAACCGUGGAGGGUCAUUGGAAACUGGGGGACUUGAGUGCAGAAGAGGAGAGCGGAAUUCCACGUGUAGCGGUGAAAUGCGUAGAGAUGUGGAGGAACACCAGUGGCGAAGGCGGCUCUCUGGUCUGUAACUGACGCUGAGGCGCGAAAGCGUGGGGAGCAAACAGGAUUAGAUACCCUG